rnacentral:rRNA from 1 species
CGCUAGCUACAGGCUUAACACAUGCAAGUCGAGGGGCAGCAGGACGGUAGCUUGCUACUGUCGCUGGCGACCGGCGCACGGGUGAGUAACGCGUAUCCAACCUUCCCCUGAGUAGGGAAUAGCCCGGCGAAAGUCGGAUUAAUGCCCUAUGUUGUCCGACGAUAGCAUUUGAAUUGGAUGAAAGAUUUAUCGCUCAGGGAUGGGGAUGCGUCUGAUUAGGUUGCAGGCGGGGUAACGGCCCACCUGGCCGACGAUCAGUAGGGGUUCUGAGAGGAAGGUCCCCCACAUUGGAACUGAGACACGGUCCAAACUCCUACGGGAGGCAGCAGUGAGGAAUAUUGGUCAAUGGGCGAGAGCCUGAACCAGCCAAGUAGCGUGCAGGAUGACGGCCCUAUGGGUUGUAAACUGCUUUUGGAGGGGAAUAAAGUGGCGUACGUGUACGCCUUUGUAUGUACCCUCAGAAUAAGGACCGGCUAAUUCCGUGCCAGCAGCCGCGGUAAUACGGAAGGUCCGGGCGUUAUCCGGAUUUAUUGGGUUUAAAGGGAGCGCAGGCGGAGGAUUAAGCGUGACGUGAAAUGUCCCGGCUCAACCGUGGAACUGCGUCGCGAACUGGUUUUCUUGAGUGAGUGCGACGUCGGCGGAAUUCGUGGUGUAGCGGUGAAAUGCUUAGAUAUCACGAAGAACCCCGAUUGCGAAGGCAGCCGACGAGUCCUUAACUGACGCUAAAGCUCGAAAGUGCGGGUAUCGAACAGGAUUAGAUACCCUGGUAGUCCGCACGGUAAACGAUGGAUGCCCGCUGUCUGCGAUAUACUGUAGGCGGCCAAGAGAAAUCGUUAAGCAUCCCACCUGGGGAGUACGCCGGCAACGGUGAAACUCAAAGGAAUUGACGGGGGCCCGCACAAGCAGCGGAGCAUGUGGCUUAAUUCGAAGCAACGCGAAGAACCUUACCAGGGCUUGACAUCCGGGUGAAGCGGCGGAAACGCCGUGGCCGAGAGGAGCCCAGACAGGUGGUGCAUGGCUGUCGUCAGCUCGUGUCGUGAGAUGUUGGGUUAAGUCCCGCAACGAGCGCAACCCCCGUCGCAUGUUGCCAGCGGUCCGGCCGGGCACCCAUGCGAGACCGCCGGCGUUAAGCCGGAGGAAGGCGGGGACGACGUCAAGUCAUCAUGCCCCUUAUGCCCUGGGCUGCACACGUGUUACAAUGGCCGGCACAGUGGGCUGCCACCACGCGAGUGGGAGCGAAUCCCCAAAGCCGGCCCCAGUUCGGACUGGAGGCUGAAACCCGCCUCCACGAAGUCGGAGUUGCUAGUAAUCGCGGAUCAGCACGCCGCGGUGAAUGCAAUCCCGGGCCUUGCACACACCGCCCGUCAAG